CGCUGUGUAGUGAUGGAGUCGCCUAUUCCCUUCUGCUGGAUCAAGAGUGGAAGCCAGGUGCAGCUCUGAAAAGAGCUAAGUGAUUAAGCUGCAAAGAUUCCCCUUUCAAGAACGAGACGAGGCUACGUUUUGAAGGGUCAAGAAGAACUGAGGUUUAAUGACACACACUCUGCUUUUAUGGGAUUCUGCCCAUGCAAGGGAGACACCCACAUAAUUAGCAGUACAACCAAUCCAUACAAUAUACAUUCAGUAAAUUCCCUCCCCUCAGAUAACUACAUAACAUAAUUAAAAAAGAACAGUUUUUCCCCAAAGUUUGGCUGUACCCCAGAUAGCUUAUAUUUCAGGUACCAACAUAUGAAAAAAUCAGCUCAAUCGGUUCAGCCGUUCGGGAGAUAUAGGACUUAGAAGUUUUGACCGACCGCACGGGCACAGUAGCCGAAAACAGUUCCAUGAAUGCUGGCCCUGCAGUCGGUCUAAGAACGUGGGUAAAAACUCCCGAACGGCCGGCCAUCCGUAUACCAUCCUGGGUUCGCUGAAAUCCCCAUCUGCUGUUAAUUCUUUCUAGCGAACGCCCGGUCGUUCGGUAGAUUUGGUGAUAUUUUCCCGAACGUAUGGAGGUCUCAGCGGUGUUCGUCUGUUUGAGUGUCCGAUUUUAGUUCCAGACAUUCAUCGGCAAACACCGCUGUUCGGGAGUUAAAAUGGCCGUGAACACGUGUAAGUCCCGAAAUGGUGGCUGAGCUUACAGUUCCCAUAGCGUUCGUGCGGUUGAUUCGAAUAAAGUGCCCAUCAACCAGGGAGGUAAAUUGGCCAUAAUUAGCAGUCAGGGUGGCCUGUUAAGGCAGGUAAGCAUUCGCAUGGUGAAUGCUUACAAAAAUACCGAACGGCUGUAUAAUCCAUUUGCCUUUUGCAGUCAUACUGGGCUUGUUGUUACAGCCCUCAACCCCUCUGUUCCUGUGUGUCCAACUUGUCUGGUUACAACUACAUGUCUGUUCGUCCACCCAUUGUAAAGCGCUGCGGAAUUUGUUGGCGCUAUAUAAAUAAUAAUAUACUAAUAAAAAGCAGGUGAAAUUUAAUUAGACAAACUAAAUGCAGACCAUCUUCAAUGUUAAAUUGAAGACAUA